UAGAGCCUGUCUUAAGAGAAGAUAUUCAGAAGAUAUGGGAUUCUGUUCCAAAGCCUGAAGCACACAAGGACACUCCUCUAAGUGACUUCUUCAAUGUUGAAGUUGUUGCUCUUUCCAGUUAUGAGGAAAAGGAAGAACAGUUUAAAGAGCAGGUGUGUAUGUGAG